rnacentral:sRNA from 1 species
UGUUGGUAGCAUUCAACACAACAUAGCAAGUUAAAAUAAGGCUUAGUCCGUAAUCAACUUCUGUGGCGCUGUUUCGGCGCUUUUUUU